rnacentral:rRNA from 1 species
ACUCCUACGGGAGGCAGCAGUGGGGAAUAUUGCACAAUGGGCGCAAGCCUGAUGCAGCAACGCCGCGUGAGGGACGACGGCCUUCGGGUUGUAAACCUCUUUUAGUAGGGAAGAAGCGAAAGUGACGGUACCUGCAGAAAAAGCACCGGCUAACUACGUGCCAGCAGCCGCGGUAAUACGUAGGGUGCAAGCGUUAUCCGGAAUUAUUGGGCGUAAAGAGCUCGUAGGCGGUCUGUCGCGUCUGCUGUGAAAACUGGGGGCUCAACCCCCAGCCUGCAGUGGGUACGGGCAGACUAGAGUGCGGUAGGGGAGAUUGGAAUUCCUGGUGUAGCGGUGGAAUGCGCAGAUAUCAGGAGGAACACCGAUGGCGAAGGCAGAUCUCUGGGCCGUAACUGACGCUGAGGAGCGAAAGCAUGGGGAGCGAACAGGAUUAGAUACCCUGGUAGUCCAUGCCGUAAACGUUGGGAACUAGAUGUAGGGUCCAUUCCACGGAUUCUGUGUCGCAGCUAACGCAUUAAGUUCCCCGCCUGGGGAGUACGGCCGCAAGGCUAAAACUCAAAGGAAUUGACGGGGGCCCGCACAAGCGGCGGAGCAUGCGGAUUAAUUCGAUGCAACGCGAAGAACCUUACCAAGGCUUGACAUAUACCGGAAAAGGCUAGAAAUAGUCUCCCCGCAGGUCGGUAUACAGGUGGUGCAUGGUUGUCGUCAGCUCGUGUCGUGAGAUGUUGGGUUAAGUCCCGCAACGAGCGCAACCCUCGUUCUAUGUUGCCAGCACGUAAUGGUGGGAACUCAUAGGAGACUGCCGGGGUCAACUCGGA